rnacentral:misc_RNA from 1 species
AAGUCGUAACAAGGUUUCCGUAGGUGAACCUGCGGAAGGAUCAUUAUUGAAUGAACUUGGGGUUGGUUGUCGCUGGCUGUCUUUGGCAGCAUGUGCACGCCUUCUCCUUUCAUCCACACACCCCUGUGCACUUGUGAGACUGGAGACCGUAAAAAAGUCUUCAGUCUGCUAAAUUCAUAUACAAACUCAUUUAAUUGAACUGAAUGUACUUGAUGUAACACAUCAUUGAACUAAGUUUCAACAACGGAUCUCUUGGCUCUC